AGGACGAACGCUGGCGGCGUGCUUAACACAUGCAAGUCGAGCGGAAAGGCCCUUCGGGGUACUCGAGCGGCGAACGGGUGAGUAACACGUGAGCAACCUGCCCUUAGCUCCGGGAUAGCUCCGGGAAACCGGAAUUAAUACCGGAUAUGACCUAGGCCGACAUCGGCUGUGGUGGAAAGUUUUUCGGCUGGGGAUGGACUCGCGGCCUAUCAGCUUGUUGGUGGGGUAAUGGCCUACCAAGGCGACGACGGGUAGCCGGCCUGAGAGGGCGACCGGCCACACUGGGACUGAGACACGGCCCAGACUCCUACGGGAGGCAGCAGUGGGGAAUCUUGCGCAAUGGGCGAAAGCCUGACGCAGCGACGCCGCGUGGGGGAUGAAGGCCUUCGGGUUGUAAACCCUUUCAGCAGGGACGAAGCGAAAGUGACGGUACCUGCAGAAGAAGCGCCGGCUAACUACGUGCCAGCAGCCGC
rnacentral:rRNA from 1 species